rnacentral:rRNA from 2 species
AGUUGUAAUUUGUAGAGGAUGCUUUUGGCGCGGUGCCUUCCGAGUUCCCUGGAACGGGACGCCUUAGAGGGUGAGAGCCCCGUACGGUUGGACACCAAGCCUCUGUAAAGCUCCUUCGACGAGUCGAGUAGUUUGGGAAUGCUGCUCUAAAUGGGAGGUAAAUUUCUUCUAAAGCUAAAUAUUGGCCAGAGACCGAUAGCGCACAAGUAGAGUGAUCGAAAGAUGAAAAGCACUUUGAAAAGAGGGUUAAAUAGCACGUGAAAUUGUUGAAAGGGAAGCGUUUGCGACCAGACCUUUUCCUAGCGGAUCAUCCGGUGUUCUUCACCGGUGCACUUCGCUAGGUCGAGGCCAGCAUCGGUUUCUGCAGGGGGAUAAAAGCCCAGGGAACGUAGCUCUUUCGGGAGUGUUAUAGCCCUCCGCAUAAUACCCUUGCGGGGACCGAGGACCGCGCUUUUUGCAAGGAUGCUGGCGUAAUGGUCGUCAACGACCCGUC